GCUCAACCGGGGAGGGUCAUUGGAAACUGGGGAACUUGAGUGCAGAAGAGGAGAGUGGAAUUCCACGUGUAGCGGUGAAAUGCGUAGAGAUGUGGAGGAACACCAGUGGCGAAGGCGACUCUCUGGUCUGUAACUGACGCUGAGGCGCGAAAGCGUGGGGAGCGAACAGGAUUAGAUACCCUGGUAGUCCACGCCGUAAACGAUGAGUGCUAAGUGUUAGAGGGUUUCCGCCCUUUAGUGCUGCAGCAAACGCAUUAAGCACUCCGCCUGGGGAGUACGGUCGCAAGACUGAAACUCAAAGGAAUUGACGGGGGCCCGCACAAGCGGUGGAGCAUGUGGUUUAAUUCGAAGCAACGCGAAGAACCUUACCAGGUCUUGACAUCCUCUGACAACCCUAGAGAUAGGGCUUCCCCUUCGGGGGCAGAGUGACAGGUGGUGCAUGGUUGUCGUCAGCUCGUGUCGUGAGAUGUUGGGUUAAGUCCCGCAACGAGCGCAACCCUUGAUCUUAGUUGCCAGUAUUCGGUUGGGCACUCUAAGGUGACUGCCGGUGACAAACCGGAGGAAGGUGGGGAUGACGUCAAAUCAUCAUGCCCCUUAUGACCUGGGCUACACACGUGCUACAAUGGGCAGAACAAAG
rnacentral:rRNA from 1 species